rnacentral:tRNA from 1 species
GGACUCGUGCCUGAGAUAAAGGAUUACUUUGAUAGAGUAAAUAACGUGGGUUAAACCCCCUCCGACUCCU